rnacentral:rRNA from 1 species
GGGAGGCAGCAGUGGGGAAUUUUCCGCAAUGGGCGCAAAGCCUGACGGAGCAACGCCGCGCGAGGGACGAAGGCCUUUGGAUUGUAAACCUCUUUUCUCAGGGAAGAAAAUCUGACGGUACUUGAGGAAUCGGCCUCAGCUAACUCCGUGCCAACGGCCGCGGUAAUA